rnacentral:lncRNA from 1 species
CGGAGCCGUCCGGGAGCCGGCCAGCGCCACCCUCCCGGGACGCAGCGCCCCCUGCCGGCCUGGAGUCCCCGCGCCGGGCCUGGAGCCGCCCCUCGCUGGGCAGGCUCCAUCCCAGAACCAGAGAACUGGGCCUGGGGCCCACACCCACACCCACACCGCAGGACCCAGUGACUUCCACGUCCCCAGCCCGGCUUGCCCACCACCUUUUCACCCCAGGACCUGGGACUCCACUGCCCCAUUCCCUUCAUCCGAGAUUCUGCAGGCCAGAGGCUCCACACCAAGGGCUGGGACUGCCCCUGACCUGGACUCAAUCUAUGCCAUCUGGGGACCCGACACCACCAGAGACACAGCCCCCUCCCUAACUGGAGCCUCAAUACCAAGGCCUGGCGGCGACCUCCUACCAGACCAGUCUCCUCGCCAGGGAACAUCCCAGGAUGCUAAGCAUUACGUGCCAAGCCUGAUCAUCCACCCCCCACCCGCCGUGGGACCCCGCAGCCCCUGCCUACCCUGCUGUUUCACACUCCUCUGGGAACCCUGGGAUUCAGCUGGGGACCUUUCCUAGUGCCAGUGGGUUUAUUAAAAGUCAUUCAUUUAAGGUUUAAAGAACUUACCAGGGCUAGAAGAGUCAAUGGUGUCAGGUGGUAUGAACACGAAUGAUCCUUCCUUCCAGGGUCCACACUUUUUUGUGGAAUCAAAGAUAAAUUGUAUCACGCAAGUCUUAAAUAACACUGCGUUUUAGUAGCAUGAGGGAUGUUCAAAUGUUGGCAAAUCUGCUCCUUGAUCACUGUUUUUAGCUCAAGAUGGAAGACAAAUAAGUAGCACAGAACCCACUUCCCUAGUUUCCCUCAAAAUACGAAAAUUAAAUAAGAGAGUGAUGAGGACAGGAUUUGGGUGUAGAUUCACUUCCCUUUUCAAACUGAUGUUGGCCACUCUGAGCCAGGGUGGCCCUGGCUCUGCUGUCUUAGCAGCCACAUCACCAGGCAAAAUUAGUCUGUGAUUCAAGCCUACCUUCCCAAACACUCCCAAGGCUAUGCCAGCCUUAUUGGAUUCUGAGCUGAGAAGGGCCAGUAUUUCAAGUCCAAAAUCCUCGUCCAAACUCAGCUUACCGAGGUCUGAAGCCAUGGCACUGUUCCUCUGUGUGGCCAUCUCUCCACACGGCCCCAAAGGGCAAAGUUGUGUACCCACAGUCCUAGGCCUGUCACCUGCCCCCCUCAAUUCCAAAGGACAAAGAGAGUCUCUUUCUCGAUAGUUCCAAAAAGAGCUUCAUGGGGGACUCUCAUUAGCCCCUUUGAAUCACAUGCUUGUCCCUCAGCCAGUCCCUACCAGUGAGGGACUAACCAUGAAAACUGACCAGACCUAGGAAUCAUGCCAGAGGAGGUCAAAGACCCAGCAGCUGGGAGAGGGAGAGGGUGUUUGCUCCAGGCCAGACCAUCACAGGAGAUGCUAGGGAUAGAACCUGGGGCCUCGCAGAUGCUAAGUGUGUGCUCUGCCACAAGCUACACCUCCUGCCCAGGGACUGUUUGUACCUGAGGGUUUUUAAUUUAUGAAGGUGAUUGGUGACACUGAAGUAAGAUUCAUUAUGUUUUCCGGGAGAAGGGGGCACCCCACACCCCGCCACACAGGGCCCCAUGAGGAGCACUGGGUUUAACUAGGAGACACACCAAGUGGAGAUCCCAGGCUAGGGCCUUCACUGGGGCUUCCAUGAGAAAAGCUUGGCAGCGCAGAGUGAACGGUGAGGGUUGGCUGGUUGAGUCAACCCCGUGGGCGCUAGGCUCUGGGGAUAUCUCUGGUUGCCUGGUGUCUGGCCCUGAGGGCAGGAAAACAUUGACUUGGUGUGAGAGUUGCACAGGAAGUAAGCAGGGCUACAGAUGGGUAACACUAUGUUUUCUUGUUGUUUGGUAGUGGUGGGAAUGGACCCUAGCCUGCCAAAAAAAUGCUGUCCCACUGAGCUUCACCCCAGCCCUGGGGCUAGAGACUUGGGAUGGUUGUUAUAUGAAAGAUAUGCUCCCUUGGCUGCGCUAAGAACCAGCUAGCCCCAGGAUGGACAAUUCCUCCCUGGCCAGCAAAAUUGUUAACGUGUCAAAAUAUCCUAGGAUACAGAAAAUGAAAAAUAUUAUUAUGGUCAGGGGCUGUGCGGGGACUGUGUGCUGCAGCGCCAGCUCCAGCAGGGGGAGGGACCCACUGACUCCGCAGGGGUGCUAUUGGCCAGCCUCCCAGCAUUCCAGGGAAGUCCAAACCCGGCCACUGCAGGGCCAUUGCUCUCUGUUUGCAAACACUUAGCUAUUCAGACAACAAGAAUUCAUGAGACUUGGAUGGAUGACAGCCAGGGUGGGCUGGUGGCCCCAGGACUCAUCUCAGCUUCACUUGCUGGGGAUCCUUUUUCAUGCACCUGCAGGAUCUCCCAGACUACCCCCCCCCCGCCCCCUCCCUGGACAGAGUAUUGGUAUUGGUUCAUUACACUGACAUCAUCACAGAUCAGAGAGCAAGUGGGAUCCAUUAGGAACACUGACACUUCCUCAGGGCUGCCUGGGGCUGACAGGGCUCAGACACUGUUUCAACCCUCACAAUAAAUUCAGAAAGUAGGUCCGGAUCUAGGAGUGUCUCUCUGGUCAGUGCUAUAGAUAUCACCUUAAUAAUGUUGAGGAAAAGGCGAAUUUGUUGAAGCACACAGGGGUGCCUCUUGGGUAGAAUGGAAGGGCAGGAAACACAAACUUCACCAGGAGCUGGGGGUCACUCAUCUACAAAACCUGACCUCUUCUUCUCCCCUCUCAGACAACAGAGCAGAACCACUAACUAUGCUCAAUCCCAAACUGAUCUUCCAGGAGAGAUGAUCUGAUUGGCUCAGCUUCAGUCAGUGGUGACCUCAGGUCCAGCUGGGUGUGAGCAGGUGGGUGGGGUUUCAGCUGCUAGGUUACAGUUCUGAACCGGGGAGGGCGUAGACUAGGUGGGCACCUCUGUUCUCUACAGCUAAUAUUAGCCCCACUUGGCUGAGUGGGUCACAAAGAUAUAUCUAGAUCUGGAAUCAUGCAGAUGAACCUGCUCUAGGAUCGUGUUUUAAGCACAUUGCUACAAAUUCUCGAACCUAAAAUCUAAAUGUACCCCACAGUGUUUUACCUGUAUAUUUGAUCUUGCCUUCUGUUUAAUUCAGUUUCAUAGAUUGUAUGACUUUAUGCAAAAAACAAAGAUGAACAAGCCCUGUGUCCUGGUCUCCAGGAGCUUCAAGGAAACUCAAGGAUAGAAAUCUCAAGUCCCAGAGAGCAAGUGGAUGGGGGAGGGGACACCCACUAUGCUGUCUGGGGUGCAGAUAUUCAUUUCAGGUUGGAGCAUCAGGAAAGGCUAAAUAGAGAAGACAGCUGUUUUAGCAACUUUAAAUGGGGUUCACAAUUUCAUGUUUUCAUUGAGUUUUUCUUUAAUUUUUUUGUAGUUGUAGAUGGACAGCAUACCUUUAUUUUAUUUGUUUAUUUUUAUGUGGUUCCGAGGAUCCAGUGCCUCACAUGUGCUAGGCAAGCACUCUGCCGCUGAGCCCCAGCCCCAGCCCCAGCCGUGCACUGAGUUUUACUUGUUAUUCAUUACGGAGAGCUAGAAGUCCCCCAUCUCUCCAAGCCCCAGGCAUGCAAACAGCUCUGUCCUGAUCUAGUGCCAGCAUUUAGGAAAUUGGAAAGAUGUCCACAGAUGUUCUCAAAAAGGCCGAGACAGAUGUCUGGGUCACCCUUCCACCAACUAAAUGUGGGACCCUCCAGACCAGUCCUAGCAGAGUAGCAGCAGACUGGCUCUGGGGUAACUUGGCUUUUUCUUCCAUCUGUAGGGAUGUGGGCCAGUUAAUACAGCUAAUAGAUCUCUCUCUCUCUCUCUCUCUCUCUCUCUCUCUCUGUGUGUGUGUGUGUUUCAAAAGUUGGUAUGAAACAGACAUUUUCAAUAAUGACUCAUAAGGUAACCACAGCCUUUUUUUGGGGGGGAGUACUGGGGUGGAACCUGGAGCCUCGUGCAUGGUCAGCAGGUGUUCCCACACUGAGCUGCACCCCAGCCCAGGCAACUGCACCCUUGAAGAUCAGGUUUACAUGGGGUUUCUGGAGUCCCAAAAGGAAAUUGAGGGACCAAUGAUAUUUAUAAUAGUGCUGAAGAGAAUAAAAUACUUAUGAAUAAAACUAAUCAAAGAGGUAAAUGACUUGUACACUGAAAACUGCAAAAUACUUCUGAAGGAAAUGAAAGGAGACACAAAUUAAGGGAAAGAUAUUCAUGUUCAUCUUUUGGAAGACUUAAUUUUGAUAAGAUGUAAAGGUGAUGUCAAUGUCAAAAUGAUCUACAUAUCUAAAGUACUUUCUUUCAAAAUCCAAUGAUGUUUUUUCAGAGCUAGAAAAACUCACUCUAAAAUCCACAUGGAGUCUCACAGGAUGCUGUUUUAGUCUGCCUCAUGUUGCAGUAACUUAUACAGAAUGGGUACUUCAUAAGUAAAAGAGCUUUAUUUCUUUUCAUUGAUGUAUCUUGGUGCUGGGAAUCGCGCCCAGGACCUUGUACAUGCUAGGCAAGCACUCCAUGGAUGUUGAGAGCCACAGCUGAAGGGGCCCCGGCAAACUUCCAGCUGCCAGCUGAUUGACUCCUCUGCAGUGAUGCUCAUUGGGCUGUUUCCCUGCCUUUUCAGACCACAGAGCUGCUCAUUGGGGGACUUUUUUUGGCUCCGCCCAUGCAGCCCAGCCAAUCGGCCUCAAGAGCAGGAGGAGUGGGGGGCUUGAGAGGCUUGUGGGAAGCCAGUGGUGGCAGUUGGGCUCUGAGGGAAUUCCUGAAGAGCUGUGUGGUGCAGCGUGUGUGUGUGUGUGUGUGUGUGUGUGUGUGUUCUAAAAAUAAAGUUAGUUUCUGCUUGAUAAGUGGCUCCUGAAUUGUGCCCAGCCAGACUGUGGCAUUUGGUGGCCCGCACGGGGAAUGACUGAGGGUAAGUGAUAAGGUAAACUGCUCGCCCCUGAGGGCAGGGUGAGAGGAUGGGUAGCCAUUUUAAGAUUCUUCUUUCAUUUUGUUUCGCUUUUGUUUUAAGUUGCCUGUCCCUGGAGAUGAGUGAGAUGGAAGAAAAACCGCUCACAUCUGAGGAACAGAUAGGGAGAAAGGACGGAUGGACAUUUCAGGAGGAUAGUAAGGCUAUUGUAAUGAUUUUGUGUUGUUCCAUUUUUGUUUCAUUCUGUCUUGGCUUUGUUUGGCGUCAUCUUGUUGGGUUGUAUUAUAGUAGAAAUACGGGAUCAGAAAUUAGUAAAAUACAAACCGAAAGACUGUUAAGUAAAUUGUUAGAGGAAGGAGGCAUCCCAGUAAAAUCAAGAGCAGUCGGGGCAUACGUCAAUACAAUACAAAAAUGUAGCCCAUGGCUUUUUAAGGAGGAGUUGUUA